rnacentral:rRNA from 1 species
CGGUCUCGAUUUAUCGAGAUAGUGGCAGACGGGUGAGUAACGCGUAAGUAACCUACCCCUAAGUAGGGGAUAACUCCGAGAAAUUGGAGCUAAUACUGUAUGUGGUGAUGGGGGUAAGGCUCCAUCACUAAAGCCUUAGGGCGCUUAGGGAGGGGCUUGCGUCCGAUUAGCUAGUUGGUUAGGGUAAUGGUCUACCAAGGCGAUGAUCGGUAGCUGGUUUGAGAGGACGGUCAGCCACACUGGGACUGAGACACGGCCCAGACUCCUACGGGAGGCAGCAGCAAGGAAUUUUGUGCAAUGGGCGAAAGCCUGACACAGCGACGCCGCGUGGGGGAUGAAGGCCUUCGGGUUGUAAACCCCUUUUCCCAGGGAAGAAUAAAAUGACGGUACCUGGGGAAUAAGCCUCGGCUAACUACGUGCCAGCAGCCGCGGUAAUACGUAGGAGGCAAGCGUUAUCCGGAUUUACUGGGCGUAAAGCGGGCGCAGGCGGCCUUUCAAGUCGGAUGUAAAAUCUCCCGGCUUAACUGGGAGGGAUCAUUCGAUACUGUUGGGCUAGAGGACAGCAGGGGGAGGUGGAAUUCCCGGUGGAGUGGUGAAAUGCGUAGAUAUCGGGAGGAACACCAGUGGCGAAGGCGGCCUCCUGGGCUGUUUCUGACGCUGAGGUCCGAAAGCGUGGGGAGCGAACAGGAUUAGAUACCCUGGUAGUCCACGCUGUAAACUAUGGACACUAGGUAUGGGGAGUAUCGACCC